rnacentral:rRNA from 1 species
GGGGAUACGGUAAUCGGAUACUGGGCGUAAGCGCGCGCAGGUGGUUCGCAAGUUGGAUGUGAAAUCCCCGGGCUCAACCUGGGAACUGCAUCCUUAACUACUGAGCUAGAGUGCGGUAGAGGGUGGUGGAAUUUCCUGUGUAGCGGUGAAAUGCGUAGAUAUGCGAAGGAACACCAAUGGCGAAGGCGACCUCCUGGACUGAUACUGACACUGAUGUGCGAAAGCGUGGGGAGCAAACAGGAUUAGAUACCCUGGUAGUCCACGCCGUAAACGAUGUCAACUAGCUGUUGGGAUCCUUGAGAUCUUAUUGGCGCACCUAACGCUAUAAUUCAACCGCCGGGGAAGUACGGCCGCAAAGUUAAAACUCAAAUGAAUUGACGGGAGCCCGCCCAACCGGGGAAGAAGGUGAUUUAAUUCAAACCAACGCGAAAAACCUUACCUGGCCUUGACUGGCUGAAAACUUUCCAAAAAUGGAUUGUUGUCUUCGGAAACUCAGACACAGGUGCUGCAUGGCUGUCCUCCGCUCCUGGCCUGAAAAGUUGGGUUAAGUCCCGUAACGAGCGCAACCCUUGUCCUUAGUUGCUACACCUCGGGUGGGCACUCUAAUGAGACUGCCGGUGACAAACCAGAGGAAGGUGGAGGAUGACGUCUAGUCAUCAUGGCCCUUACGGCUUCGGCUACUCACGUGCGACCAUGGUCGGUACAAAGGGUUGCCAAGCCGCGAGGUGGACCUAAUCCCAUAAUACCGAUCGUAGACCGGAUCUGAGUCUCCACUCGACUGCGUGAAAUCGGAAUCGCUCGUAAACCUGAAUCUCAAUGUCACGGUGAAUACGUUCCCGGGCCUUGUCACACGGCCAGUCUGCCAUGGGAUUGAUUGAUCCAGAUAUACUAAUCUAACGCGAGGGAUACGUUACCACGGAUUGAUCGUGAUGAGGACACAACCCCCCCCCACCCCCCAAAAAAAAAAAAAGAAAAAAAGGG